UACAGGGGGGGCAAGCGUUGUUCGGAAUUACUGGGCGUAAAGGGCCAGUAGGCGGCCAACUAAGUCCGACGUGAAAUCCCCAGGCUUAACCUGGGAACUGCGUCGGAUACUGGAUGGCUUGAAUUCGGGAGAGGGAUGCAGAAUUCCAGGUGUAGCGGUGAAAUGCGUAGAUAUCUGGAGGAAUACCGGUGGCGAAGGCGGCAUCCUGGACCGACAUUGACGCUGAGGAGCGAAAGCUAGGGGAGCAAACGGG
rnacentral:rRNA from 1 species